rnacentral:lncRNA from 1 species
AGGUCUCAUAGAAUAAUAAAGGCAUCCCCUAAAAUAGAAAGAGCAACAGUAACAUAAAACACUCAUCGUGCUUUCAGUGUGAAGUGAGAAUUUGCACUCCUAAUCUCCCACAUUGGGUCUGGGGCCUGAAUAGCGUUUCUGUUUUCCCUUCAGCUGACCUAAUGACAGAUCUGAAGAAGUGUCAACACUGCAACUGAAAAAGCUCGAAGCAGCAGGAAUGUCGUUCGCAGGGGAGAUGGGAGUCAUAGCAAAUACACUUUUCAGGGCUGGUUACUCCUGACUAAUGGCAUGCCGUUUUCAGCAAGUAAAGCCAAAACCUUGUCCACAGGCAGCAGCACGCUCCAGAUGAGUCCCAUGCCUACUCUGAGCAGCAGCAGAUUAGGUAAUGUUGCUUCCCUAUGGCUGGCUCCUCUCUCCUGCCGUCAACCCUGAUUCAGGCUUGUGUAUUUGCUUUAGGUAGAGGCCAACAUCACCCACGGCCAAGAAAUCUAGCCUAGUUCAUGAUGGCUAUAUGCACUGUAUGGCUGUGGUGAGGUAUUGGAACAGGCUGCCCAGGGAGGUGGUGGGAUCACCAUCCCUGCAGGUCUUUAAGGAAAAGACAGACAUAGCACUGAAUGACAUGGAUAGUGAGCAGGGUGACAAUGGUUUGAUGGUCGGACUAGAUGGUCUUUGUGACCUUUUCCAGCCUUAAUGAUUCUGUGUUCUCUAUUGUCAGGAGCGAAUUCAUCUUUUGUGACUUUAUCUUCUGAAAGAAAUAGCGGAAGAACAGAAAUUCAAUCUGCUGCAUGGAGGUAUCAAAUGUUUUCUGUGAUGUGUUCGCCAGAAAGAGACAGGUUUGCAAAGUGCCCUUUUCUUGCUCCCAGAACAGAAAGUGCUUAAACACAUCCUCAACUGCCAAGCUUUCUUUGGAAAAGAGCCGUAACUCUGUAUCUUCGUACUAAGAAACUGAGAACAUUGAGGCAUUUCUAAUCCUACCAACUGUUGAUAUCAAGGUAGGAACCCCAACAUCAUCUCUCUGCGUCUUGGAUGCCCGAAAGCGUGGUGAAUGCAUAUACAACUAUUUCAGUGGUGAGUAACCCAUUCAAAGCCCACCAGACCUGCAGGAAUCUGAGUCUCCUUUCUUGGCUGUAACAGUAGCAGAGUGCUGAGAAUCAGGCAGGACUGUGCCCAUAGCUCAGUUCGAAAAGAUGUGCCAAAUUAGUAGGCAUAAUCAAGAAUGACAUGUGUAUGUUUGGUGGCCCUGCUUGGCAGGGGGGUUGGAGCUGCAUGAUCCUUGAGGUCCCUUCCAACCCGGGUCAUUCUGUGAUUCUAUGAUUCUGUGAUUGAAUAAGAGGCAAGAACGACUAAUCAGAUGCUAACUUAGCUGAUGCUGGCAUUACUGAAAGCCUGGGGACAUAGUCCAAGGAUAAAAACAUAACGUCUUAUCUAACCAAGGAGUCAUU